GUGUCUGUUGUCGUGACUUGCUAGAGAGUGGUGGAUCCACGUGAAAUCCAUUACAGAGAGUGGAGUAGGGUAGUGGCCAUUGUCGUGACUUGCCGAGAGUUCGGAUCUGUCGGCUGGAGCUCGGUUGAGAUGUCUGAUGGAGCGGAAUGGCUCUCUAUCUCAUCGAUCUAGGAGAAGCUCGGAUGUUUCUGAGGUUGCUGACGAGUCUACUAUUGUCAGAUGCCUCGGGCGCUGAUGCUACAGGCGGGAGUCAUCUGCUGUAGAAGCUCGGAUGGAGACUUUCUGUUGGUGA
rnacentral:lncRNA from 1 species